CCCCGCUGUGUCUCUGUGGCUUGCAGCUUCAGAGAAAGGCAGGUUUGUGAAACUCCUGCAGGAGAGGGAGGGUGAUGGGAAGCCCCCCACCUCUCUCGCCCUUGCUCACAGGUACCCCUCCCGCUCUCCCUGCACUGUGUCCUUUGCUGAAAUAAACCUUCGCCAGGAUGAUAACCUGUCAUUAAGUGUGUGAGUCCUUCCAGUGAAUCACCAAACUAGUGGGGGGUCAUAGUGUUUAGAAUGUAAAAGGGGUGCUCGUUGCUGUAAGGAAAAGGCAGUAGGCUCUGUUCCCCACCCUGGAUCCACUGUUUGGCAGACUAAUCCCCCCUUAAAGGGGCAUCGUAAUCCCAGAACCUUUGAAUAUUUAAAUUUCUGCAGCAAAAAGGACUUGGCUGAUGUGAUUGAUUUGUGGUGGGGAGAUUAUUCUGGAUUAGCUGGUGGGCCUAAUGUCAUCAAGGUGCUUCUAACACAGAGGCAGGAGGCUUAGAGUCAGAGAAGGGGAGGUGAUGGUGGAAGCAGAGGUGCGGGUGAUGAGGGGCCUCAGCAAAUGCUGGACGCCUUUAGGAAGGAAAAAGGCAAGGAUGCUGAUUUGGUACUUCCGACAUCCAGAACCAUAAGAGGGGUGUAGGGCCCUGCUCCUCUCUGUGUGACGCUAAAGAGACCAUCCGGGUCUAAGAUGCUUUGAGCUGUGGGGUGUGAUCCUUGGUCACAGCGAGACGAGAAACCACCCCCCAAGGGGACCUGCAGUGAUGACAGUGGGCAGGGACAGAGCUGGGGAAAGUCACACGGCCGAGAACCAAGGACAGUGGGGGAUCCAGCAGGAAAGGUCCUCCUGGGGCUGAGGUUGGGUCAUCAAAUUCCCCCUUGUGGCUGUGGUUUGGGGACAUUUUCCUUUUUAGCAGGAUCUUCCCCUUUCCUGACGACUUGGAAGUUUAAAAUGAAGAAACAGCCAAGGAAGGAAGCAGAUAACAGAAAACAUGGACAGGAAGUGAGAGUAUGGGGCCUGGAAUGCCUCGGUGAGAGCUCAGAAGACAAGGAUCUGAUUCUGCAUUUUACUGGAGUCUGGAGCCAGGGAGACAGGACCCGGGUCCGAGAGCAGCUCUGCCCCUUCUCUACCUCCAGGCUCCUCUCCUGUCACAGGUCCGAAAGCAGUGAGGGGCCAGGAGCGGGGCUCCCUGGCUGUGCAGUGUCGAUACACUCCUGGGUGGGAGUCCCACGGGAAGUGGUGGUGCCGAGGAGCCGACUGGGGAAACUGCAAGAUCCUUGUUCAAACCACUGCAUCAGAGCCGGAGGCGAAGAGGGACCGUGUGUCCAUCAGGGACGAUCGGGAAAACCGCACAUUCACCGUGACCACAGAGGAGCUCAGGCUGGACGAUGCAGGCGUUUACUGGUGUGGGAUCGAGAGAGUCGGACAUGACCACGGUGACUGUUGACCCAGGUAAGAGUAUGUGUGUGUGUGGAUGUGUCUCUCAGGGCCUGCUCUGUCCUGCUCCCUGAGGUCCCUCUCCAGGGACCUCACUGUCCCUCAGAGGGAACUGUCACAGUUCCUGUUCCCUGAGCAAGGGACCGCUCACUGCCACGAUGGUCCAGAGUGGGAGAACUACGUGAAGGGGUCGUGUCGAGAUGCUGCCUGGAAGAGCUGCAUCGUCCUCGUUCAAACCACUGGAUCAAAGCCGGAGGAGACGAAGCCCCGCGCAUACAUCAACCGGAACAAACACGUGUUCACCCCGACCACGCUUGACCCAAGAGACAACUUUUGAGAAUAUCAGUUUCGUCCUUCUGACUUGCUUCCUGGGCAUUUUACAGUAAGAUAACCCUACUCACAGCCAGAGCCUGGACAUUUCGAUAAAAACUUGAAUUUAAGAUUCCCGCCUUAAGUUCCUGCUUUGCUUUUCCCAGGGCACCUUGUAAAAUAAACACUUAGAGUUAAGGCUGCAAAAAAUUAGUGACCCGUGCCCUAACCACCUUCUGAGGAACAGGUGUUGCUACCCGGCUCUGUUUCCUGCCGACUCACGACCUGCAACGGAGGAAGACUGCCCUUCCCCUGCCUCGUUGCCACCAUGCCCCUCCCGCCUUCCCAACCCUGCUUCUGAGAUGGGUAAUAAGUCAUUUGACGCUACUUCCUUUGUGGGGGUGUAUUCAAGCUGCGCCUUCAACCAAAAGGACCUCAUGAGUUUCGAGGUCAAGUGGGACUCUGGAUGCUGAGGCUCAGCUACCUUGUUUACCCUGUGGGAGUAGCUUGCGCCUCCAAAUUCAGCAGGUCAUAAUCUGCGUAUUCUUUUUUUGUUUUUAUUGUUUUUGGUCUUCAAACUUUUGUGUUUGCCUUUUUAGGGCCAUACCCAUGGCAUAUGGACGUUCCCAGACGAGGGGUUGAAUUGGAGCUGCAGCACUGAUCCCACAGCAGCACGGGUUCUGAGCAGCGUCUGCGACAAACACUGCCACUCGUGACAAACACUGCCACUCGUGGCAACGCCGGAUCCUUAACCCACUGAACGAGGCCAGGGAUCCAUCCCACAUCCUCAUGGAUGCUAGCCAGUGUCAUUACUGCUGAGCCAUGACGGGAACUCCUCAAACUCUUUUUUAAAAUUAAUUUUAAAACGUUUUACGGCUGCACCUGUGGCAUAUGGAACUUCCUGGGCCAAGAUCGACCCCUCACCUUCUCAGUGACCCUAGCCACUGCAGUUGGAUUCUUCAUCCACUGCACCACAGCAGAAACUCCAAAGUUAAUUAUAUUUUAAUUAAUAGGUGAUUUACAGUGUUGUGUUAGUUUCAGGUGUCCAGCAAAGCGAUUGUCAUGCAUGCAUUAGAGAGGGGAUUAAGAUGGCGGAAUAGAAGGACUGGAGCUCGACUUCUCUCCUAAAAACAACAAAAUUCACAACUAAAGACUGAGCAAUCUCCCCCCAAAUGGACCGGAAACCCAUACCCUACUCCAGAAGAAAAAGAGGAGGCCCCAUCAAGAGGUAGGAGGGGUGAUUUCGUGAUAUAAACAACCCCAUACCUCCCGGGUGGGAAGCUCCACAGACUGAAAACUAACUGGCUCACAGAGACUCACCUACAGGAGUGAGAGUUCUGAGCCCCACAUCAAACCCUCACAUGCUGGGAUCUGUCACUGGGAGAAAGAGCCCCUGGAGCAUCUGGCAUUGAAGGCCAGCGGGGCUUGUGCGCAGGAGCUCCACAGGACUGGGGGAAACAGAGACCCCAUUCUUAAAAGGCGCACACAGACUUUCACAUGCACUGGGUCCCAGGGCAAAGCGAGGUCUCCAUAGGACUGCAGUUCUUGGAGGACAUCCUGGGAAAACAGGGGUGAACGUGGCUUGUUGUGAGGGAAGGACAUUGGAAGCAAAGCUCUCGGGAAUAUUCAGCGGAUGCCUUUCUCUGGAGGUGGCCAUUUGGGGAAAAUCUGGCCCCACCCAUCAGUCAGCUGCUGAGAAGCCCCAGGGCAAACAACAAUCCAGGUGGGAUCACAGCCUCGCCCCUUAGUAAACCCGCUACCUAAAGACCCCUCAGGCACAGAGCACCUCUAAUCCCAUCCAGAGACUAAGCCCCACCCACCAGAGGGAUUAGAAUCGGCUCCACCUACCAGGGGGCAGGCACAAGCCCCUCUCAUCAGGAAGCCUACAGCAAGCCCCCAUACCGACUUCAGCCACAAGGGGGGCAGACACCAGAAGUAGGAGAGGCUACAGCUCUAUUAUCUAUAAAAAGGUCACCACACCAAAAACCUAUAAAAAUGAAAAGACAGUGAACUAUAACUCAGAUGAGGAAGAAAGGAAAAACCCCAGAAAAUCAGCUAAGCGAUGAGGAGAUUCUCAGCCUCCAGGAAAAAGACUUUAGACUGUGGAUGCUGAAGAUGAUGCAAGACAUUGGAAAUAAACUGGAGGCAAAGAUGGAUAAGUUACAGGAAACACUGACCAAAGAGAUACAAGAUAUGCAUGCAUUAUAUAUAUCUGUUUUUCUCAGAAUCUUUUCCCAUCUAGGUUAUCAGAAAAAAUUGAGUAUAGUUCCCUGUGCUAUACAGUAGCUCCUUGUUGGUGUUUUGUUUUGUUUUAUUUUAUUUUAUUUUAUUUUAUUUUUGACCAUGACCAUGGCAUGUGGAAGUUUCUGGGCCAGGGAUGGAACCCAUGCCACAGCAGUGACUCUAGCCACUGCAGAGACAGUGCCAGAUUCUUAACCCACUAGGCUACUAGAGGACUCCUUGGUUAUUUAUUUUAUGUACAGCAGUGUAUAUAUGUUAAUCCCAAGCUCCUAAUUUAUUCCUCCCCCCCUUCCCUUUUGGUAAUCAUAAGUUUGUUUUCUAUGUCUGUGGAUCAAGUUUUGUUUUGUACAUAAGUUCGUUUGCAUCUUUUUUUUUUUUUUCAGAUUCCACGUGUAAGCAAUAUCUUUCUCUGUCUGGCUUACUUCACUUAUUAUCACAGUAAUUAUGCGUGAUUACUAAUUAGAGAUUACCAUACUUAGGUCCAUCUGAGCCUCAGGGAACUUCUCCAGUUUUCACUCUCUUCCUUUUUAGGGCACCUGUGGCAUAUGGAAGUUCCCGGGCUAGGGGUCGAAUGGGAGCUGCAGCUGGCAGCCUAUGUCACAGCCAUGGUCACACCAGAUCUGAGCUGCAUCUGGGACCUACACCACAGCUUGUGGCAACACUGGAUCCUUCACCCACUGCGUGAGGCCAGGAAUCAAACCUGCAUCCUCAUGGAUACUAGUCAGGUUCUUAACCCACAGAGCCACAACGGGACCUCGGAACUUCCGCACUGUGAUCAUUGACGGCACCAGCUCAGCCUCACUGGAACUGGAGCCUGAUGGUUUCACUGCAGUGGAACCUCCAGUUGUGUGUCGGGACCCGUCUGAGAUGCUUUGGCAAUCUCAGAGAGAAAUUAAUUCGCUCCUAAGUCAUCCAGGAUGGAGGGGGCACAGAAUCCCAGGACCAAAAGCCCACAUGCCCCCAGAUUUUGGCCUAAUGUGACAGUGGCCAAGAAAUUCCAGCUCUUUCUCCCCUGAGAUUUCUGACUCUACCCUCCUCUCUGGCUGUGGGGAGGGAUGACCCAGGAAGAUGAGCAGGCAGUCCUCAGCACUCACACGGGGCUGGGGACAGUGUCCGUUCCCGCCAGCAGGGCUGGCCCACCCAGUAAUUCAUGGGGCACCGGGCAAAGUGUUCACAAAUAUCUUUCCUCGGAAGUGGGGAUAAUUAUAGCUGGGUCCCCCAGACCUUCCCACUGGCCCGUGACUCCUCUGGGAGAGGUGCCAGAAGACACAGGAUGCCCAGUUCACAUGUAAUAUGGAUAAGUCCCGUGAAAUAUAUGCUUACACUAGAAAUUGCUUAUUUUUACCUGAAAUUCCAGUUUAACUGG
rnacentral:lncRNA from 1 species